rnacentral:lncRNA from 1 species
UUAGACGGAAAGAAGAAAGUUAGGAUCUUAUAAGCAUGAGUUCAAAAUCAAAUGUUGAGACGUCUUUGGAUUAAAAUCCAAGAAGGCCUAAAUCCAAACCAGACAACACCUUAAGGGGUCGUUUGGUGUGAGGGAUACUACCAAAUAGUCCCGGGAUUAAAUUAUAGUACCACUUAUUUUGUUGUUUGGUUGGCAAGUUCGGGAUAACUUAUCCCGGGAUUAAUAAUUAGUACCGGGAUAAGUUAUCCCUAACCUAGGGUGGUAUAGUAAUCCCGGGAUAACUUAUCCCGGGAUAAAAUAGGUAAAUGACAAAAAUGUCUCUUUCAACCAUUUUGUUAUAUCACUUUUUACAUUAAUGAAGGGCAUUUUUGUAAACAAAUAAAUUGUUCUUAAAAUUUAUUAUUUUGAAUACAACAAACCAAACACUCAAUAAAAAAUAAUCCCAACACAACUUAUCCCAUCAUAACUAAUCCCAACAUAACUUAUCCCAACAUAACUUAUCCCAUCAUAACUCAUUUUCAAACCAAACGACCCCUUAACAGUUAGACCAAAAUAAUUUUAAACUUGUUGAUGUUGUAUAAUAUUUUUGUAAACAAAUAAAUUGUUCUUAAAAUUUAUUAUUUUGAAUACAACAAACCAAACACUCAAUAAAAAAUAAUCCCAACACAACUUAUCCCAUCAUAACUAAUCCCAACAUAACUUAUCCCAACAUAACUUAUCCCAUCAUAACUCAUUUUCAAACCAAACGACCCCUAACAGUUAGACCAAAAUAAUUUUAAACUUGUUGAUGUUGUAUAAUUUUCGACGAAAGAGAUAUUCAGAUGAAUCUCCUUGCGCACCCAUAAUAAUUUUAAUAAAAGAUGGACUGAUCAUUCACGCUUCAUAGACAAAUGCAACAAACCAAACUGUUGAAAACUCUUCAGCAAAGCCUUGCUG